GUGAUCUAGCCAUGACCAGGUUGAAGUUGGGGUAAAACCCGAUGGAGGACCGAACCGACCCCCGUUGAAACGUUGGCGGAUGAGUUGUGGCUAGGGGUGAAAUUCCAAUCGAACUCGGAGAUAGCUGGUUCUCCCCGAAAUAGCUUUAGGGCUAGCGUCGAGGUAAAGUCGUGUGAAGGUAGAGCACUGAAUAUGUGAUGGCCCCAUCUCGGGGUACUGAACAUAAUCAAACUCCGAAUGUCACAAAGAUAUACUCGGCAGUCAGACAGUGGGUGAUAAGGUCCAUUGUCAAAAGGGAAACAGCCCAGACCAUCAGCUAAGGUCCCAAAAUAUAUACUAAGUGGAAAAGGAUGUGGAGAUGUCCAGACAACUAGGAGGUUGGCUCAGAAGCAGCCAUCCUUUAAAGAGUGCGUAACAGCUCACUAGUCGAAUGACUCUGCGCCGAUAAUUUACCGGGGCUAAGUAUAUUACCGAAGCUAUGGAUUUACGCGUAAGCGUGAGUGGUAGGGGAGCGUUCUAUGUGCGGAGAAGCGGUACCGUAAGGAGCCGUGGAGCGCAUAGAAGAGAGAAUGCCGGUGUGAGUAGCGAAACGUGGGUGAGAAUCCCACGCACCGAAAACCCAAGGUUUCCAGAGGAAGGUUCGUCCGCUCUGGGUAAGUCGGGACCUAAGGCGAGGCCGAGAGGCGUAGUCGAUGGACAACAGGUAGAGAUUCCUGUACUUACGGUAUGAAUGAUGGAGUGACGGAGAAGGCUAGCGGAUCCUGCUGAUGGAAAUGCAGGUGCAAGCGAGGUAGCCGACAGCCAGGCAAAUCCGGCUGUCGAAAGGCAAAGGCGUGAGGCGUAUGGAAAGCUGCGGCAAGUACAGAAGUCCGUGAAGCCAGCUUCCAAGAAAAGCUUCUAGUGAUAAUCAUACAGUAACCCGUACCGAAAAUGGACACACAUGGGUGAGGAGAGAAUCCUAAGGUGAGCGAGAGAACUAUAGCUAAGGAACUCUGCAAAAUGACUCCGUAACUUAGGGAUAAGGAGUGCUCAUAGAGAUAUGAGCCGCAGUGAAACGGCCCAAGCGACUGUUUACCAAAAACACAGCUCUAUGCUAAGUCGAAAGACGACGUAUAUGGGGUGACGCCUGCCCGGUGCUGGAAGGUUAAGAGGAUGUGUCAGCGCAAGCGAAGCAUUGAAUUGAAGCCCCAGUAAACGGCGGCCGUAACUAUAACGGUCCUAAGGUAGCGAAAUUCCUUGUCAGGUAAGUUCUGACCCGCACGAAAGGCGUAACGAUUUGGGCGCUGUCUCAGCUGUAGACUCGGUGAAGUCUUAGUACCUGUGAAGAUGCAGGUUACCCGCGACUAGACGGAAAGACCCCAUGGAGCUUUACUGUAGCUUGAUAUUGGACUUUGAUGCAAGAUGUACAGGAUAGGUAGGAGACUGAGAGACAUGCACGCCAGUGUGUGAGGAGUCAAUGUUGGGAUACUACUCUUCUUGUAUUGGAGUUCUAACCGGAUGCCAUGGAACUGGCAACGGGACAGUGUCAGGUGGGCAGUUUGACUGGGGCGGUCGCCUCCCAAAGAGUAACGGAGGCGCCCAAAGAUACCCUCAGCUUGGAUGGAAAUCAAGCGCAGAGUGCAAAGGCAUAAGGGUGUUUGACUGCGAGACCUACAAGUCGAGCAGGGACGAAAGUCGGGCUUAGUGAUCCGGCGGUGCUGAAUGGAAAGGCCGUCGCUCAACGGAUAAAAGCUACCCUGGGGAUAACAGGCUGAUCUCCCCCAAGAGUUCACAUCGACGGGGAGGUUUGGCACCUCGAUGUCGGCUCAUCGCAUCCUGGAGCUGAAGUCGGUUCCAAGGGUUGGGCUGUUCGCCCAUUAAAGCGGUACGCGAGCUGGGUUCAGAACGUCGUGAGACAGUUCGGUCCCUAUCUGUCGUGGGCGUAGGAAGUUUGAGAAGAUCUGUCCUCAGUACGAGAGGACCGGGAUGGACAUAUCAAUGGUGCACCAGUUGUCACGCCAGUGGCACAGCUGGGUAGCUAAAUAUGGAAGGGAUAAACGCUGAAGGCAUCUAAGUGUGAAACCCACUUCAAGAUGAGACUUCCCAUUACGCAAGUAAGUAAGACCCCUUAAAGACGAUAAGGUUGAUAGGUCAGGAGUGUAAGCAUGGCGACAUGUUCAGCGGACUGAUACUAAUAGGUCGAGGACUUAACCUA
rnacentral:rRNA from 1 species